rnacentral:hammerhead_ribozyme from 1 species
ACUCGUCUGAUGAGUCCCAAAUAGGACGAAGUGUGCGUCCUGGAU